GUAACGAGCGCGACCCUUGUCCUUAGUUACCAGCACGUUAUGUGGGCACUCUAAGGAGACUGCCGGUGACAAACCGGAGGAAGGUGGGGAUGACGUCAAGUCAUCAUGGCCCUUACGGCCUGGGCUACACACGUGCUACAAUGGUCGGUACAAAGGGUUGCCAAGCCGCGAGGUGGAGCUAAUCCCAUAAAACCGAUCGUAGUCCGGAUCGCAGUCUGCAACUCGACUGCGUGAAGUCGGAAUCGCUAGUAAUCGUGAAUCAGAAUGUCACGGUGAAUACGUUCCCGGGCCUU
rnacentral:rRNA from 1 species